GGGAAGGAACGGCCGGUUAUCACACUAGGGGGCGAGCGAGAGCAGCGGGGCGGAAGUGAGACCGUUAAAUCAAACCACCGAGGAAGACGGGAACGUUAAACACUGGCCGUUUCUCAAUACCUAAGACGGCGAGAACGGACUCGCGUUCCCGCGAGAAUAGACUCGGGAGACAGACUCGGGAGUCCUGACUCACGGGUACGGGAGAACGGAGAACGGACAUUUCCGCAAUUGGAACAGCAGCUGACUUGAUGACGUCACCACACUUGCUGAGGUGAAAUGCAUUCUGGGAUAUAUGUCUCUCACAAGAACAGACGAGCCUGCUUCGAUGCAUGCCCGGGAAAAUGGGCGGGGCGAGUCACAUCCGGGUAUUAUGACCGUUCUCGGCCAGAUGCGGACUUGAGAAUUGGAACAGUACUCGGGCUGUGACUGAUGACGUUUCACGAGUCCACGAGAACAAAAGUCCACACGAGAACGCAUAUUGAGAAACGGCCAGUGUAAUACGACUACUGGACGCGAGGGGCGAGCGAGAGCGAAAUGCAGGAAGUGUUCCACGUAUUAAAGCAGGGGGGUCCAAACUUUUUUCACUGAGGGCCACAGACAGAAAAAUAUGCGAAAGGUUGAGCCGCUCACUAAAGUUAAGGUAUAUCACCUCUAGUGUAUUAACAGUAAUACAAAUCAAUCAAUCAAAUGUAGGUAAAUUAUGCUUGAUAAUUUAUUAUACUUACAGAAAAAACUGCAUACAUCACAUCUUUCUAUGUUUGGGUUUUCAUUUAUCUAUUUUCAAAUAAAAUCAAUCAAAUGUAGGUAAAUUAUGUUUGAUAAUUGAAUAAACUUAAAGAAAAAAAACUGCAUAAAUCACAUCUCUCCAUUAAUGGGUUUUCAUUUUUUUUACGAAAAGGGUUGGCAGCUCAUCCUCAGAUUGCUUCUUUGUCAGGAUGGGGACCCCCUUCACAGCCCUGUAUAAAGAGGGAAGGCUUUAUUUAACCUACUUAUGCAAAUCAUUCAUCA
ensembl:lncRNA